rnacentral:rRNA from 1 species
UACGGGGGGGGCAAGCGUUGUUCGGAAUUACUGGGCGUAAAGGGCUCGUAGGUGGCCAACUAAGUCAGACGUGAAAUCCCUCAGCUUAACUGGGGAACUGCGUCUGAUACUGGAUGGCUUGAGUUUGGGAGAGGGAUGUGGAAUUCCAGGUGUAGCGGUGAAAUGCGUAGAUAUCGGGAGGAACACCAGUAGCGAAGGCGGCUCUCUGGGCCGGUAUUGACGCUGAGGAGCGAAAGCGUGGGGAGCGAACAGG